rnacentral:rRNA from 1 species
GCAAGUUAAACCUAUCACUCCCACCUGAUCUUUCAGAAAUUAGACAGGAUUACGUUUGAUUAGUACUUGGAUGGGGGACCAUGGGAAAACUAAGACUUUAUGCU